GAGUUCAUAUAGAUAUAAUGGCUAAACAGAUUGGAUUCACAAUAAUAGUGCUGGUAUUUUUAUUGAUAACAGUAAAGAUUAAUGGAGGAAACAGAUAUCUAGCUGUUACUACUACUCCCUCUACAGAGUCCCCUGCUCCCUCUCCGUCUCCAUCGGAAUCACCACUUGCAAUGCCACUUGUUGCUCCUGUUCCAGCAAAAGCACAAUAUGUACUAAACAGCAGGGUGGGAGGCAUACAGUAAGAGUUCACCACAUCAAGAGUUUCACCCCAGAAUCAUUAUAUGUGUACAUCGCGUGAUUUCUAUGACUAACAGCGUCAUUUCUUGAAGAACUUGUCAUAUGACUUUCUGGCUCUUACUUUUUUUCCUUUGUAUCCUUGUUUAAUUAGAAUCGUCUGAAUUGUGUGUAAGAUAUGGACAAUGUAGGUCUCUUGUUGUAAA
rnacentral:lncRNA from 1 species